rnacentral:lncRNA from 1 species
GAAGGCAAGAUUAAUUAAGGUGCGUCCUAAAGAGAGUCUAGCGAGUUGUAAUCUUUUGGGAGGAGGCCAUGGAAUUUGUUAAAUGGCCUAAUCCGAAGUCUAUCCGCUUAUUGAUCCUUUUAAUUGAGCACAUCACAAUUUUAUAAUCUUUUUUGGCGAGGCUCGCCCAUUUCAUUUUUAAAGGAUAUCCUAAAGCGACUAUUACUUUUUAUUUAUUUGAGUCUCCAAAGAAAAACGAAAAUCCUAUAUUAUUUACAAGUUAGUAUUAUUAGCCUAAGUUAUAAGCAUGGUAUUAAUUCCGAAAAAAUGAGUACGGGGAAGGAAGGAAUUGUUAACAGCUUGGCCCAACGUGCAUAGGUCAAAACUGGAGCCCGGGCCAUCUCGUUUUUAUCCUGGAGGCCUAGUUAUAUUAUCUACAUGUGUUUGAUAUUAACAAAUGAAGGCAGGAAUGAAAAGGUUGUCUUAAAUAUACAAGUUUUUGCCAAUUGGCUAUGCUAUUUGCCCAUUGAUCACCUACAAUCUGUUCAUGCUUCUACAUAACAUAGGCAGGAAAUGACGAGAACAUGAACUACUGUAUCACUAUCGUUUUAAAACACUAGCAUACGAGGAAAGAGUUUAACAUUUAUACUAUUACAGAUUAGUAUUCAGCUUUACAUGACAAUUAAUGACAUGAACCUAGUGAACUAACAACUAACAUAUAUAUACAACAUCAUAAGGUAUGAAUACAGCUACAAGACUUCAAGCUUUAAGGCUUCAUUUUUUAUUCAUGCUUCAAACUUUCAGCUACAUUGUGUACCAGUGUAGUUUGUGUACCUGGUAUUUAUGAUUCAAAGGAAGGAAGGAAGGAUCCGUAGUGAACAGGCAGUAACAAACACAUCACAACAACAGGUUCAGCAACAGAGAUUUCCAGCAAUAAUAGCAAUAAACCAGUGGCAAUAGAAGACCCAGGAAGGAUUUGAAAUCAAGCAGGACACUUUAAGAAACCAACAACAAUUCCAGAAAGUCCAAACAGCAACACCAAAUGUAUGACAAUAAUACCAGAAAGACAAUAGAGGUGAACCAGUACUCAAACCCAAAAAAUAUGGUCUGGUAGCAGAUGGAUAAUACGUAACACACUCAAGAACAACCACAAGCAACUUCAAGGAGCUAAAUAGCAAUACCAAAUGAACUCUAGUAAUACUAUAUGCACUCAACACCAAAACAAGAGGACCAUUUACAAGAGAAGCAAUGCUUCUGAUUCUGAAAACUCCAGGAAAAGCAAGUCAGCUUAAGUUUUAAAUAAAGACCAGCCUUAAACUCUCUCCGGAUUCAAAGAAGCCGACAGAAAAAUGCUCUCCGACUGACCCCUUUCUUUCAAAGAAAAUCCCCCCUUUUAUUCCAUUCUCUCCUCUCAAACACAUUUUCCUUUUCCGGAUUUUAAGCCUUAGUGGAUAGGUAAUCAUACCUGAAUUUGUCCAUUUAAAACAAAAGUAGUCUUCCACUAAUAGUUGUCUAUUAACUUUCCAAUCCCACUUAGAAAUGUCCUCUGUUGUUCAUUAGUGCCCUACUUAUUACUUAGUGGCCCACUAAUCCCACUAGUUCAAAUUAAAGUUGUUAAGGACCUACAGGAUAGACCAAACAGCCAAUCUAAAUUUCCUUAUUUUCUAUUUUUAAAACACCCCUGGAUCCUACUGGCUGCCACUGUUCUGAUUUAGAACAUCAGAAGACAAAACUAUACCUCUAAUUUUUGAUAUUAUCUUCUAAUUAACAGCUAUAGCCAAUCUUUAAUAAAGAAAUCACAGAACUGAAUCUAUAAUUAACAUUUAAACAUAAAACCAUCUAGUACUGAACAAAAAUGAAUUGAAACUAAUAAGCUCAGUUUUUCAACUUGGGUACCAACAGGCUCAAUCCAAUAACAACAUUAGAAAAGAAACAGGCUAAGCAAAACUACUGAACUUGAACAAUAAUUGCCUAUUAUCAAGUAAUUUUAUCAUUCAACCAUGAAAGACUAACUGACAAAUUUAUUUAAAUGAUUAUGUAGUUUAUAACAUAGAUGCAAUUAACAACAGACCAACAGAAUUAAAACAAACUAACAAGGUGAUUUCAGUUAACUUUAAUCAACCACAUAAACAACAAACACAGGAUAUGCAAACAUGUCGACUCCUGGCUUUGGGGUAAAACAAUGGACCAAAUAUGAACUAAUUACUGGAUGAUAAACACACAGUUCAUCAAACAAGCAGAAAGAAUCAACCAAAUAAAAGGUCUACUGAAGAUGGACAGAAUUGAAAGAAGAAUGAUAGAAAAAUCAAACACACUAAACUAAUCUGUAAACAAACACAAAAUAAAACACAAAUAAGAACCAGGUUAGCAGAACUAAUGAAUAGAGGCAUAUGCACAAGAGAAAGCAUACUGGCAAUUUAGCACUUGAAGCUACUAUUCAUGUUCUUCUAAAUUCUUUCAGUUUUCAAGUGAAUUCAGUUGACGACCUAUAAUUAAACGAUUAUAUGAAUAAUAUCAUAUGGCAAAACAAUCAAUUAACAGGGUGUAACAGGCAUGUUCUGGAUUUCAAUGGUUUAUCAGGGAACAUAAGAAUGAACUAAAUUAUUCUACGACUAAACACAUAACAAACAAUAACAGCAAAUAACAAAAAAAAUGAAUAGAAGAAAAGGACCAAACUAAAGGGUCUAUGGAGAUGAACAGAAUUGAAAGAAGAAAAUAAUAUAAGAAUCAAACAAAUCAGACCAGUCAUGCAAACAACAAAAAUAUAUGCAAAUAAGGAAAGAAGGAAAAAGAAGUACUUAUCUCUUAAAGCUCAAGAACAAACGACCCCAGGUCUCCAUGGACUCGACCAUUUUAAGUCGAACGGACCUUAAUCGGGGUGUUCUCAGUUGAUAACACCUAGAUUAAGGUCAACUAGACCUCAACCUCCCAUCGAUUUGAACAGAUUCCAUAGCUUUGGAAUUCUAGGGUUCAUGCGUUUGAUUUAGGGUUCGAACGUCUCCGGAUUCGAAGGAUUGGUUUGGAUAUUCGUGUUGGGCGUGGAAAGGGGGUUUAGUAGCAUAAAUAUGGUGACCGGCGGUGUAUUUGCCGCUGGGUUUCUGGUGUAAAGCGUUCAAGGGCUGCUAGGGUUUCAGGGGGUUUGUCUCUGAUGGUUUGAGAGAGAUGAAGAGGAAGAGGGUGGGGUGGCUUAUGGGGGGGUGCGGGGUGAGAGAAUGAGCUUAUAUACAAAGUGGGAGAAAUGAUCUUGGCCAUUAGAUCAUUCAAGAUCAAUGGCUAGGAUCACAAGGAUUAACCAAUACGGCGUCGUUUGGUUUAAGUGAGGGUGUUUGUGGGGAACGGGUAAUGAGUCGGGUUAGGAAAUGGGUAGGAGAGGGUUAAUCUUGAACGUUGGAUUAAAAGAGAUCAAUGGUUUGGAUUAAUUGGCCAUAUACGACGUCGUUUGGAUCAAAUCGGGAGACGGACUGGACCGUAAGAUCGAAUGAGAUCAACGGCCUAGAUCCGAGGUUCAGAAGACGCUGUUUCUCUUGUCUCAGUGAUCAGGUGAAAUGGACUGGGUCAUUACAUAAUUUGGGCCUAAUUUUUGGUUUUCAAAAUUCGGCCCAAUCCGAUUUGGCUCAAAUUUUUGCACUCUUUUUUUUCCUUCUUUAUAAUUAAAUAAAAUUCCUAAUUAAUUUGUAAAAAUAAAAAAAUAACACUACAAAAAUAUUAAUUAAUACUGAACAACAAUAAACACACACAUUUAAUUAAAAUAAAAUCACAUAAUGACAACAAAUAGAAUAAAAAUACAUAUUUUUGUGGUUUUCACUUUUAAAAAUCAAAUUAUGGUUUAAUUAAUUCCUAAAUGCACAAUUAAAUCCUAAACAUGCAUGAAACAUAUAUGUUUUAUAUUUUUUGGUUAACUACAACUAAUUAAAAUUGUACCCGAAGGUAACUUGUUUUUAUUUUGAUUUCUUUUGGAAUAGUUUCCUUGAAGAAAAAAUCACGUGCUCACAGCUACCCCUCUUUAUCCGAAAGCACAAAGAGCUUUGUGUUUUUGUGCAAAGAUAAAGUGAGCGGAUACGAGCGAUUUUUGCCCGUUGGAAUACUCCGUGUGAAGCAUUUUUUGAAACGGAUUUAACCGAACCUUUGCUUCAAAGGUUUCCUACAUAUCCUUAGCUAAAAGGGAAUUAGGUCAACGUAGUUCAAGAAGUUUCAGUAGCUGGGACUACCGUGGAACUGCGGUUUUUCUAUUACUACUGCUGUAUGCUGUUACCACUGCUUUACUGAUGUCCUUCUUACGCCGUUUCAAAAGGGAAAAAGAAAAAGCUAGGUUAGCCUACGGAUCACAAGAUCCUAUCUAUCUUCCAAUUGUUUUUGAUGGCCUUGCAUUCUUGUCAUCUUGGGUUUCUUCCGGUGCUUCUUUCUUCCGAGAGCUUGGGGAUGAUGCUGACCUUUUGCCUGUCUCAACACUAGUUUUCAUUGAUAUUUGCUUGGUCUGCUGGGGAUAUGGCUUCCUUCAUUACGUUUUUUGGCAAUUCCACUGGGGAUGUUUUCCCUCUAUAUUGGCGAUUCCACUGGAGCUACGGCUUUCUUCAUCAGCAUUUGUUAUGCUGGGGCUUUUGUUGUAACCUUCUGCCUUUCGGGGGGUUACCGAUUUCAAAUCAUAAUUGCAAAGCUAUAUGACUGGAGUUAUAUGCGAUGUGGUUAUAUGAGAUGUAGAUUCAAAGUGACACGUAGUCACAUGAGAUGCAGAUGCAAGAUGGCGCAUAGUCAUAUGAGAUGGAGAUGCAAAGUGACACGUAGUCGCAUGAGAUGUAUAUGAGAUGUAGAUGCAAAGUGACACGUAGUUACAUGAGAUGUUGAUGCAAGACGAUGCGUAGUCAUAUGAGAUGUAGAUGCAAAGUGACACGUAGUCACAUGAAAUGUGGAUGCUAAGUGAUGCGUAGUCACAUGAGAUGUAAAUGCAAAAUGACACGUAGUCAUAUCAGAUGUAGAUGCAAAGUGACGCGUAGUCACAUGAGAUGUAGAUACAAGAUGACUCGUAGUCAUAUGAGAUGCAGAUGCAAAGCUGCUAUGACACGUAGUCACAUGAGAUGUAGUAUGCAAUGUUAUACGACACGUAGUCAUAUGAGAUGAAGUCAUAACUUGAAUUCGGUUCCCCCCUUAGUACGCCCUUCUGCCAUUAUCAGCGUUUCUGCUUCAAAUCAAAGAAAACCUUAUUAGUUCAAAACAUGGUGAGUGGUUGUGCCACUCCUGUCGGGGAUUCUCUUGGGAUUUGGUCCACGUUUUCCCAACUGUUGCCUUUCCAGCCUUUCCCAUACUUCUCAUGAUAUUCUAGACCCAUCCGGUGGAGUGAAUUGGUCACUUUGGUAAAUCAAACCUAACCAACUCCACACCAAUUUCAAACAAGGCCGUUUUAUUUAAGAGGGUCUUGCAACAACGCUCUUUCAAUUUGUUGCCUUGUCUUCCGCUUGCCUUGUUCGUAUUCUGCCUUGUACCAUUUGGAAACUGGUAGCAAGCCCUGACAAACCUUUCUAAAAAAUGAACUGCUGGGGGAAAGUUAAAAUAAAUGAUAGAAAAAGGGAGAAAAUCUUUCUGAACGAACGCUGGGAAAAAGAAAAGAAAAGAAAAGACUUAUUUGGGUGGUGUACUGGCCCUGAUGAUCAUGUCAUAUAUUCUGGAAUAAUCGAUCCAGUCUAUUGGUAUUAAUCAAUUUCUGAUGGCUUCCUUUACUGGGGAAAAACAGGUGCCCAACGUUUGCCCAAAUGCAGAUCCUUUCCGCCAAUAUUAUCUUGUCGCCUCAUAGUGCCCUUCGAGGGGUUUUCACUAAUAAGACUCUCUCAUUUCUCUCGGCUCUCGUCGCCUUAUGGUGCUUGUGAAGAUUUUCACCGAUAAGACGCUCUCAUUUUAUUUUCUCAGCUGGGAAUGGGGGUGCUACCAAUAAGAUUCUCUCUACUGUGGAAUUCUUUGGAUAUCAACUCUACCGAGGAUUCCUUUGGCUAGCAAUCGUGCUAGGGAUUCCUGCUAGCAAUUGUGCUGGGGGUUCCUGCUAGCAGUUCCCUCAGCUCAUGAUCUUUCCUCGUCCAGGGAUCAGUGUUUUAUUCCUGGCUUCCACUUGCCUGACUCAGUAUCUUUCGGAUAUCGAUCGGGAGGUCUUUUUUGGUUAUAACAUGUGGGUUUUGUGGGCUUGGAAGAAAAAGGGGUAUCAAAAAUUCAAAGUGACUUCGAUGGGUGAGAGACUACAACCCUUGGAAUCAAAAUUUUUCUAACAACUUAACUUCUGCUUGGGGAUUUUUGAUUUUUCACGACAUUUCGUCACACUAUGACCGAGCCGUGAGGCGCCUAUGUAUCCUUUUUUGAGGAAUCAGGUCAAACAUAGUUCCCACAUAUUUGUUUUCUUUUUUUUCUUUUUUUCAAUUUUUUAUUUUUAUUUAUUUUUAUUUUUUAUUAUUAUUUUUUUAACGAUUCCAAGAGAGGGCUAUGAAAGAACAAAUACGGCUCAAAGGGGGAAACAAAGGUUGACAAUGUUUAGGUAGAAGAAAAAUUGCCUCCGUCAUUUCGUUAUCCGAUGAACACCAAGUACAAUAAAACAAAAUAAUGAUAAAUACAAUCAAGGAAUUUACACAUAGUAUCUCUUGACUGCGUGAGAAUUGAUAGCCAUGUCAAUGCAUCUUCCUUCAACAUCCGUCAAGCAAAUGGUCCUUGCUAGUUUGGGGCGAACUUUGCCCUUUGCCUCGACCUGAUGCGGGAGAAUCCAUUUCAAUACCCGCUGCCUUACUUCCAAUUUCCUGAUGUGGGAGAAUCCGUUUGAAUAUGGAUGCUGAUUUUUGUUUCCCUCACAUUGUCGGCAUUCCUCUAAUUGCCAGCUUCAGUGUCAUCCAAGUUGGGCUUGGGUUUUUCUUCGUAUUGGCUUAGUUCCCCGUUUACCUCUUUAAAGACUCCAUCCUCAUCAUAUCCCGAUUCACUAUCACAUUCGAUCUCUUGUAUAAUUAACUCGGAAUUGGAUUGAUCAUUUAGACUGGGCCGAAGAUCCGUCAUGCAUGCCAUGUCAUCAGGUCCAGUGAAAUAGAACCGUUCAAAAAUCAAAAGAAGAAGAAACAACAUUAAACAAAACAAGCAUAGAAAACUUUUAUUUUAAUAAAACAAGGGAUACCAGGGUUCACACUUUUGCUAAAAAACAAAAUUUGGAUUACACCCUGGAAUAAUCCAGAAAACGAGAAAGAUAAAUCAAGGCCUACUACUAAGACUCCCUCCGGGUAGGGAAAGGAGUUGUUGUCUGGUUCUUAAGGUUGUCCCUAGGCCCGCAAACUGCAUAUCAGCCCUGCUGGAACCCUCUCCAGCUUCUAAUACAUUGACGUCGGCGAUCAUCUUUGGCUCCCCCCUUUGUGCACCAGCUCGAUCAUAUGGGUUUCAUGAUGUGCGGGCAAUCGGUUCUGGUUAACGUUUGGUGCCUCCGGCGCCUAAACCUUAGUUUUCUUGGCGUCGAUAAGAUCUUGUAUCGCCUGCUUCAGCUUUCAACAUUUUUCAGUAUCAUGCCCAAGCAUUCCUGAAUAGUAUUCGCAUCUUAGCGAUUGGUCCACAUUUAGGGGUGGGGGAUUUGGAAACCUAUUCUCUAUAGGACUCAACAAACCCAACUGCUUUAACUUGUCAAAUAAAGCGGUAUAGGUGUCUCCCAACUCGGUAUAGGUUCUUUUGUUUUGUGUUCUUUCAUUUCUGUAUGUCGAAUUUUCCCGGAAACCUGCCCCUGGAGGGUUCCUGUUGGCUCUGGGUGGUGGAUAGGUGUUUUGUGGAGGCGGGUAUACGUUUUGUGGAGGUGUAUAUGUGUUUUGGGGAACCGACGUGCGCCGUUGUGGAUGAGCCGGGGUUGAUUGUAGGUUUGGGCUCGGUAUACGGCGAAGUGUGGUUCUUGUGGUGGAUAGUGGUAUUGUGGUGGGCUAUAUGGGGAAUGUGGAUAAUUUUGUUAGUGGGGACUAGGUUGGUCGUAGUAGUGCUGGCCGGAUCUAGACCAAUCGCUAGCUUUGACCGUGGCCACUUCUUCUCUCCUUUCUUCCCAAGCACACCUCCCGUGCCGCUUUGAAUAGCCUGAGGCAUUGCCCUAAGCGUUGCGUAGUUCAGGAUUUUAUCAGACUUAAGUCCCUCCUCUAUCAUAACCCCUAUCUUUACUACUUCAUUGAAGGAUUUUCCAACCGUCGUCACCAGGUGAUCAAAGUAAGUUGGAUCCAGUGUUUGCAGGAAGUAGUCCACCAUUUCCCACUCUCCCAUGGGAGGAUCAACCCUGGCUUCCUGUUCUCUCCAGAGGAACCCGAAUUCACGGAAGCUUUCUCUAGGAUUAUUCCCAGUCCUUAGUAAUGUGAGACGGUCAGGGACUAUCUCGAGAUUGUAUUGGAAGUGACAUGCGAAAGCCUGUGCUAGAUCAUCCUAGUUGUACCACCUGUUGGGAUCCUGUCUGGUAUACCAUUCCUGUGCCGAUCCACUUAAGCUUUGGCCAAAGUAAGCUAUCAGUAGCUCAUCUUUGCUGCCCGCUCCCCUCAUUUUGCAACAGAAUCCCUGUAAAUGUGCCAUAGGGUCGCCAUGCCCUUUAUAUAGAUCGAACUUGGGCAUCUUGAACCCUAACGACAACUGGACGUUAGGAAAAGGGCAUAAAUACUUGUAGGCUACACUGACUUGGUUGACUAAUCCAUGCAUGUUCCUGAAGGUUUGCUCCAGGCUUCUAACUUUCCUCAUUACCUCGUCCUGUUCUGGAUUCCUGGCUGGCUUUUCAUUCUCCGCUGGGAUCUCAAAUUUGGGAUUUUGGGUAUGUGUUUUAAAUGCGGGUUCUGGGGGAUAAUAUUGUGCCUCGUGAGCUUGAAACAAUGGCUAACUAAUAGAUCUUUGCUGUGUGGCUGGUGGGGGUCCCAUGAAAACGGACACAUUUGGAGGUGGCUGUUUCAGGUUGGGUGGUGGAGCUUGGGAGUGAUAGAGGUUUCUUCCCUGGAAGUAGUGUGACUCGGAAAGCCUGUUGACGGGCCAGGGUGAGGGCAUUCUGGCGUGUGCCCAGGUGGAGGAGUACGACUAAUGGACGAUUCAGGCCCCUUUUGCACAUUAGCCAAGGCCAACUUCAUUGCAUUCAUCUCCAACCCCAUUUUCUCUAUCUUUUCCAAGGCUUCUUUUUAGCAACUGUACCUCGGGCCUCUCUUCCUCAACAUUGUUCUCAGAAUUGGUCAUGCUUUUGGGUAUAAGCCCUUUAGAUCUUGUCUGAUAAUGGUAUGGUACCAGUACGCUCUAACAAAAUGACUGAUAGAAUUUGGAAAGAUAACAAACUUGUCAGCGUCACAGUUUUAACAGAUAUUGCACGUUGGGGAUGCAAUGCCCUUAGGCAGUUAACCAUUUCUAAUAUGAUUUCGCUCCAACUGUAUGCGUCAUCCGGCUUAUUUAUGAUUCCCUCUUUUUCUUUUUUUCCUUUUUUUAAUAAAAGACCCGGCAUUGCAAACACGGCCUUUCAGCACAUCGGGAACGAAGAUUUUAAGUCUGCGUUAGCUAACCGACCAAAAUCCCAAAAUAAUGAUUAAAGGUGGCUGUUAAUGCAAAGUCAGCCUUCCGACGUCCCUUUCGGGAACAUUCGUCUAUUUACGGCAAAAACAACAUCACUGACUAAUUUCGGACUCUUUUUUAUCAAAGAUAGAAAACCAGAUAUUUGCAAACACGGCCUUUCGGCGUCUCGGGGACGAAGAUUCUAAGGCUGUGUGGGUCAAUUGACCAAAAAUCUAAAAAAUGACCAAAGGUGGCCAUUUAUGCAAAGUCAGCCUUCCGGCGUCCCUUUCGGGAACAUUCGGCUAUUUUUUAUGUAAACAACAUCACAUCACUUCCUUAUGACGAAAAUUAAAAUUUUGAUAUUUUUUUUCUUUGUGUGGCUAUUUUAGCAAAAUGGGGGGUUGGACCCGAUGAGGGUUGCCUACAUAUCUCACAUCCGGUGUGAAUCAAACCAGCGUAGUUCGGGCAAUUACAUGAACUAUUUUAAAAACAACUCUUUUUUUUCAUUUUCAUUUUAUGGUAUUUCAAAAGCAAAUACUAUUUUUUUAAAAAUAAGACUCUUUUUCAUUUUUAUUUUUGGCAUUUCAUAAGCAAAUAACAAAACUACUUUCUAAAGCACGACUCUUUUUCAUUUUCAUUUUUCAUGGCAAAACAAACUAUUUUCCUUUUUUUUGAAAACAGGACAAAAUAAUGACUCUUUUUUCAUUUUUAACAAAACUAAAACAGCCUAUUUUUCCCAAACUAAAAACAAAUACACUUUUUUCUUUUUCAACAAUUAAUAAAUCAACCUAUUUUUCAAGCUAAAAAUAAAGAAUCUUUUUCUUUUUCAAUAAAACAACCUAUUUUCUUUUCCGUUGGCAAAUACACUAUUCUGAAAACAAGAAGACCUAAAAUAAAGACUCUUUCAUUUUCAUUUUUCUGGGCAAAACAGACUAUUUUUCCUUUUCUAUUUUUGAAAACAAGAGAGAAUAACGACUUUUUUUCUAUUUUUCCUUUGCUUUUUGGUAAAACUAAUAAAACAUUUUUUUUCAUUUUCUCAAAAUUUCGACAAAGUUUCGACGACAUUUGGAAAUUGAUUUUCUAAAAAAAAAUUAAUUAACACUCUACACUGCUAAUUUUUCUCUUUUUUUCUUCAAAUUUUCCGUGCAUUCAAAGCCGGUCAGCAUGCAUGUUUGAAGCAAAUAAAUGCAUAAAGCAAACAGGAUACAACAUGAUGGUCUUUUUACUUCAGGUUGCUUGUCCUAGACGGACCCAACCCAUGUGUUGAGUCCCCUAAGUCGAAUGCACAUGAUACAAAUAAACGUUCCUACUAGGGAUCCGACAUGAAGUUUUGUUAUACUAGGUUCAAACCUGAGUUUUUUGUUCUAGACCUGGCUUACCCGAGCGGACAACUCGAGCCGAGAAUGGGAAUGCGUGCCGGUAACCAAAAGAUCCUCCGGUUUAGCAAUUCCUCCAAAUCCUCGUUCUAAAUUGGGAUAAUGACACUAACAGAAAGAAGUCACGACCAGCGUGCACUCCUCGGGAGGGAGAAGAGAAGCGUUUCGGCACAGUUUAUAUAUAGUCCACAUAAUAUCAAAGCGGUAAAGAAUAAUCAUUUUGCACAUUAAGCACAUAUCACAUGGAAAUAUCAGAUAAUAAAAUAAAGCCAAAAAUACAACAAUUUCUGAGAUCGAAUUCUAACCCUGAACCAGUGGUUCUGGGCAUAUUCCCCAGCAGAGUCGCUAGAGAUGUUGCACCUCCUUUUUCCGCGCCCGCGGGACGCAAGGAGUUUUUCUGAAUUCUAACCCUGACCUAGUGGUACUGGGUCUUAUCCCCAGCAGAGUCGCUAGAGCUGUCGCACCUUCUUUUUCUACACCGCGAGGGUGCAAGGGAGUUUUUCCAAUUAAAGGAUAAUCGAAACGGGAUUAUUUAUUGAAGAUUCAGAGUCACCACUUGGAAAAUUUAUGGCGUCCCAAGUCACCGGUUAAAUCUCAAAUCUAGGAAAACAAUGACUCUAUUUAACAGUCUGCGCACUAGAAAUCCGGAUAAGGAAUUAUGUUAACCCGGGAGAAGGUGUUAGGCAUUCCCGAGUUCCGUGGUUCUAGAACAGUCGCUCAACUGUCAUAUUCGGCUUAAUUAUCUGAUUCUUAUUUAUCUGAUUUUUACAAUUAUAUACUUAGUGCAAGUCAUGAUUCUUUUAACCGCUUUUUUUUAAUUAUUAUUAUUGUUAUUAUUUACAGAGAAUUGCAACAUUGUGAAAAUAUAUCUCGAACCACGUCACAGUCAGUGUACCCGUGGUCGUUGACGCAUUUCGACUCUUUCGAGAUUUGGAUUUGGGUCGCAUAAAUGCACACCCGAGUUUAGGAAGGUAAGAUUAAUUAAGGCGCGUCCUAAAGAGAGUCUAGCAAGUUCUAAUCUUUUGGGAGGAGGCCACGGAAUUUGUUAAAUGGCCUAAUCCGAAGUCUAUCCGCUUAUUGAUCCUUUUAAUUGAGCGCCUCACAGUUUCAUAAUUUGGUUUUGGCGAGGCUCUCCCAUUUCAUUUUUAAUGGAUAUCCUAAAGCGACUACUAUUUUCUAUUUAUUUGCGUCUCUAAAGCAAAACGAAAAUCCUAUAUUAUUUACAAGUUAGUAUUAUUAGCCUAAGUUAUAAGCAUGGUAUUAAUUCCAAAAAAUGAGUACGGAGAAGGAAGGCAGUGAUAACAGCUUGGGUCCAGGCCCAACGUGCAUAGUUCAAAACUUGGGCCUGGGCCAUCUCAUUUUUAUCCUUGAGGCCUAGUGAUAAUAUCUACAUGUGUUUGAUACUAACAAAUGAAGGCAUGAACGAAAAGGUUUUCUUAAAUAGACAAGUUUUUGCCAAUUGGCUAUGCUAUUUAUCCGUUGAUCACCUACAAUAUGUUCAUUCUUCUAAAUAACAUAGGCUGGAAAUGACGAGAACAUGAACUACUGUAUCACUAUCUUUUUUAAACACUAGCAUACGAGGAAAGAGUUUAACAUUUAGACUAUUACGGAUUUUUAUUCAGCUUUACAUGACAAUUAAUGACCUGAACCUAGUGAACUAAUAACUAACAUAUAUAUACAACAUCAGAAGGUACGAGUACAACUACAAGACUUCAGGCUUUAAGGCAUCAUUUUUUAUUCAUGCUUCAAACUUUCAACUACAUUGUCUAUUUUUUAUUCAUGCUUCAAACUUUCAGCUACAUUGUGUACCAGUGUAGCUUGUGUACCUGGUAAUUUUGAAGCAAAGGAAGGAAGGAAGGAUCUGUAGUGAACAGGCAGUACAAACACAACACAACAACAGGUUCAACAGCAGAGAUUUCCAGCAAUAAUAGCAAUAAACCAGUGGCAAUAGAAGACCCAGGAAGGAUUUGAAAUCAAACAGGACACUUAAAGAAACCAACAACAAUUCCAGAAAGUCCAAACAUCAACACCAAGUGUAAGACAAUAAUACCAGAAAGCCAAUAGAGGUGAACCGGUGCUCAAACCCGAAAGAGAUGGUCUGGUAGCAGAUGGAGAAUCAGUAACACACUCAAGAAUAACCACAAGUAACUUCAAGGAGCUAAAUAGCAAUACCAAAUGAACUCUAGUAAUACUAUAUGGACUCAAAAUCAAAACAAGAGGACCAGUUACAAGAGAAGCAAUCCUUCUGAUUUUGAACACUCCAAGAAAAGCGAGCCAGAUUAAGUUUUAAAUAAAGAUCAGCCUUAAACUCUCUCCGGAUUCAAAGAAGCCCUCAGAAAAAUGCUCUCCGACUGACCCCUUUCUUUCAAAGAAAAUCCCCCUUUUAUUCCAUUCUCUCCUCUCAAUCACAUUUUCCUUUUCCGGAUAUUAGGCCUUACUGGAUAGGUAAUCAUACCUGAAUUGGUCCAUUUAAAACAAAAGUAGUCUUUCACUAAUAGUUGUCUAUUAAUUUUCCAAUGUCACUUAGAAAUGUCCCUCUUUUGUUUCUUAGUGCCCUACUUAUUACUUAGUGGCCCCAUAAUCCCAUUAGUUCAAAUUAAAGUUGUUAAGGCCCUACAGGAUAGACCAAAUAGUCAAACUAUAUUUCCUUAUUUUCUACUCCUAAAACACCCCUGGAUCCUACUGGCU